AAACGUGCGUUUCAGCUUCUAAAAUGAAACAAACGGCACUUACACGUUUAUCACAUCAGAGAAAAUAGAAGAGAGAGCGAGAAAGAACGCAGCACAAAGAGAGAGGGAGAAGGCCGGUGAAGAUCAAAGUGUCGCCGGAAGGACAAAGCCGGCGGAGAUCGGCGUUCACCAAGCGGCAGCGCCUCGUCCGCCUCCCCACUGCCAGAAUGGAAUUUCAGUUUCAGGGUCAUCAAAGCUGUUGGCCAAUAUUCUGUACUCAUGGGCUUAUCUGUUGGGAACUUGAUUGCUAGAUGGGAUGAAAUGGGACUUCCAAUCUAUCCAAUUUUGGGGAUGUUUGGAGCAGACAGAUUUGAUGCUAUUCUUCUUCCAGGCUAGAUGAGUGAUCAAUAAUAAUAGGUUUGACUUGCCUGCACAAACCAUCACCCUAGAUUUUGAGAAAGAUCUGCAUUUACUGAAGGGAAUAUGCCAUUACGCAACUUGGGUCACAGUCAUGCAGCAAUGGAACUAGGGAAAUAUUUAAAUGCCUGUCUCUUUGUAAUUAAAAUUAUAGCUUAAAGUUUAAUUAGAUCUUACGCUUCUACUUAAGAGAUUGUUUGGAUUUAGAUAAUUCACAAUCUAGAAAAUUAUAAAUGAAGUAGAACGUAGGGUAUUUCCUAUUAAUGCAUUUGAUAUAUUCAAUAAUGUAUGUGUAGCCAUCAGCCUUUGGUUGGAUCCAUGUUGAGCAUUCGAAAAUUAUUUCCUGUGUAUGGAAUGUAAAAAGCUUUUACUUACCAAAAAAUAAUGUUUGUGUAUAAUUUGACUCUAAGUGGGUAGAAUAACAAACUGAAACUGAAAGCUGGUUGAUUUUCCACGAACUGGAAUUGAUAUACAACAGUAUGGCACUAGUAAUUGUUUUUCCACCAAUGACUUUGACUGGGUUGCUGAUUCAUGCCUUUCUGUAACUUUUAGGCAACAUUCUUGGUGAGAAGGGUUUACCCUACACUCUAAAAAUAUGAUUUUCCAGGGAUAUAAGUGAUAUCUUUUAGUCAUAUACUGCCAACUACGUUUCUUGUAAAAUGGCAUCGGCAUGGUCAAGUGUAAAACUUGGGCUGGACUUGAAGUAAUCAUGAUGGUAGUAUCUUGGAAUCUUUGAUUUGUUGCUCUAUCUAGGAUGUUUAUAGAUUCAAUUUCAAAAAGAUGAUUCAGAAACUCAACUUCACUCAAAAAGCUUUGUUUGCAUUAUAUUACUUGAAUGCACAUGAUUCUAUUUUCUUACAUGAAAUUCACAUCAAGAAUUGAUUGAACAUAUCUUAAUUUAAGAUGUGCUUUUCAAUUAUGAUGUGCUCUUACUUUGACCAAAGUGAGCGUUAUCUUAUGAUAACAUGUUCCAUAUAUAAGAUUAGACUUUGAUGGGAAUCAAUUAAGGUCAAGUCAUCAAUGACUUGAACGCAUCCAAAGUACUUCAGCAGGAGAAAAGCCUAAGAAUGACAGUAUACAUGAAUAGUAUCCAUCCAUUAAUAAUAAGAUGUUUUGGUUGGAGGAAAAUCCUCCAUGGACGACCAAGUGGAUGGAUGACCAAAUUUUACUUGGUAAAUCCUACAAGAAAUUCUCCAAAGGUUCCACAUAAUCAGACCAUGACACAAUGCUCCUAAAACGUGGAGGGAACUCCUCAGAUUCCGCUCCACAAAUCCCAUUUUCUCCAUUAACCGCUCACAUCACCUAUGAUGGUGGUGGAUCCAAACAAGUAGACCCACUUCUAACUCUCUAUAAACGGGACAAGUCCCAUCCACCCAAGGUAAGUUCGGCAAUUGAGAGUUUCCCAUCCUUGUGUUCUAGAGAGAAAACUGACUUAACCAUCGGAGGGUCCUUGGCCGGGUAACACCGGUCACCCUUGACAUUCUUUUCUUUCUUUUUAGGUCCUAAAGCCAUUACCAUAGCCCAAAGCAUUCUAGCCUACUGUUUUCUUUGCAUUCAUCAGACUUAAUUCAUCUUAGGAUUUCUUUGGAGUUGAAUAAGUUUGACUCAAACAAUCUCCCAUUUACUCUUGAAUUAUGCUAGAGCUCAUUUAGAUUUUUAGUCAUUUUAUAUCUAUCUAAAUAAUGGAAAGUUAUACAAUACUUUUUGAGCAAUGCUCUCUCCUCUCACAUGAAUGACAAGACCUACCAUGAAUUUAAUUAGUGAGACUUAUUGUUAUGUGAGGGGAAGAAACAUGGCUCUUGUGAAGCUUAUUGUGAAGCUUCAUUUUGUUUUUUUGGGAUUUGGAUUUGGAUUUUGAGGGUUGGGGGGGAUAAGUUGUUGUGAAGCUUGGAUAUACAUGUAGUGGUUUAUGGCUUUAUCAAGUUAAUAGGACACUUUAUUGACUCUGAUGGUUCAUUUGCUUGGUAGGAGUUUAGAUUCUGUAACUUAAUUAUAUUCUAAAUUCUUUUAAAAGAAAGCUCCAUCUUGAUUUCUGAAUUUCUUCUUGUGUUCAUGA